rnacentral:rRNA from 1 species
CGAGCGGACAGAAGGGAGCUUGCUCCCGGAUGUUAGCGGCGGACGGGUGAGUAACACGUGGGUAACCUGCCUGUAAGACUGGGAUAACUCCGGGAAACCGGAGCUAAUACCGGAUAGUUCCUUGAACCGCAUGGUUCAAGGAUGAAAGACGGUUUCGGCUGUCACUUACAGAUGGACCCGCGGCGCAUUAGCUAGUUGGUGAGGUAACGGCUCACCAAGGCGACGAUGCGUAGCCGACCUGAGAGGGUGAUCGGCCACACUGGGACUGAGACACGGCCCAGACUCCUACGGGAGGCAGCAGUAGGGAAUCUUCCGCAAUGGACGAAAGUCUGACGGAGCAACGCCGCGUGAGUGAUGAAGGUUUUCGGAUCGUAAAGCUCUGUUGUUAGGGAAGAACAAGUGCAAGAGUAACUGCUUGCACCUUGACGGUACCUAACCAGAAAGCCACGGCUAACUACGUGCCAGCAGCCGCGGUAAUACGUAGGUGGCAAGCGUUGUCCGGAAUUAUUGGGCGUAAAGGGCUCGCAGGCGGUUUCUUAAGUCUGAUGUGAAAGCCCCCGGCUCAACCGGGGAGGGUCAUUGGAAACUGGGAAACUUGAGUGCAGAAGAGGAGAGUGGAAUUCCACGUGUAGCGGUGAAAUGCGUAGAGAUGUGGAGGAACACCAGUGGCGAAGGCGACUCUCUGGUCUGUAACUGACGCUGAGGAGCGAAAGCGUGGGGAGCGAACAGGAUUAGAUACCCUGGUAGUCCACGCCGUAAACGAUGAGUGCUAAGUGUUAGGGGGUUUCCGCCCCUUAGUGCUGCAGCUAACGCAUUAAGCACUCCGCCUGGGAGUACGGUCGCAAGACUGAAACUCAAAGGAAUUGACGGGGGCCCGCACAA